rnacentral:rRNA from 1 species
AUUGAACGCUGGCGGCAGGCCUAACACAUGCAAGUCGAGCGAGCCGCGGACGGGUGAGUAAUGUCUGGGAAACUGCCUGAUGGAGGGGGAUAACUCCUGGAAACGGUAGCUAAUACCGCAUACCAUCAGAUGUGCCCAGAUGGGAUUGGCUAGUAGGUGGGGUAAUGGCUCACCUAGGCGACGUUCCCUAGCUGGUCUGAGAGGAUGACCAGCCAGACUGGGACUGAGACACGGUCCAGACUCCGACGGGAGGAAGCAGUGGGGAAUAUUGAACAAUGGGGGCAGCCCGUACGCAGCCAGGCCACGUGAAUGAAGAAGGCAUUCGGGGUGUAAAGUUCUUUCGGUAGCGAGGCGUUAACUACAGAAGAAGCACCGGCUAACUCCGUGCCAGCAGCCGCGGUAAUAC